GAGGCAUAUAAUGAACUAACAGUCUUAUCAUUCUAUGAAAUAAAAAUUGAUGAAAAAUUAGAAAUCUAAGUAAACAGCAAAAAAUAAUUUGAAGUGCAUGUGAAGUUUUUAAAAAAAAAGUGAAGUUAAAAUAUUUCUUAAGUUUCGACUUUAGAACACAUGUCCUUCAUUAUGAGGUACACCAAAUUUGUUACAAAUUAAACUACAAAAAGCUGGCAUCAGAAACCGAAAGCGAUUUAUUACAGUGAUCAUGAUAGUGUAAUAAGUACAUAUUGAAUUUUUUGACCUAAAAUUCAAAAAAACACAAUCGUUUAACAGUUAAAAGGUUUUGAUCUGCAUUAGUAAAAUAUCUUUGAUUUUAGUAUCUUUUUUUUUUUUUAAAAGGGCCAAUUUUUGAAUUUUAUGUGUUAUUUAUAUAUUAUUUUAUUUAUACGGUUCGAAUCGGAUAUCGGUUAAAAAUAUAAACUUUUUCUUUGAUUUUAGUAUCAUCUGAAUAAAGUUAGGUAAAAUUAAAUUUAAAAUUUAGGUAAAAUAAUUGUUAUGGUUAAAUCAUUUUUUACUUUUCAG
rnacentral:lncRNA from 1 species